UUGCAAUAAAUCGGUCUAUAAAAAUCUACAGUUAAACUAUGAUAUAUUUUACUUUAAUUUUUGCACGAAUAAAAGAAAGAACUAUACCGCUUUAGCCAAUCAGAAAAUAGCUAGGGUCUAACACCGAGACGAAUCAGUGCGCAUCAUAGUGCGCAUGUCAUCAGUCUACAGUUGAAAAUCGUGGUGAUAGGUCACGUUUCACCGGCUGAAAAUGAACAUCUUUGUGGGAAAUUAUCAUUUCAUCGUAAGCAAGAUGGCUUUGAAAGUGUAGUUUCUACGCAUACCAUGGCAAUUGAGAGAUAAUUCGACAACUUUGACACAAAUAUGAUAUUUUACAUUUCCUGAAUGGAUCAUGACAACAUCGACAGGAAUAUUCUUCGCAUCUAAUGGGUUUUGCCAAGUCUCUCGGAAACGACAGGAAUCAAAGAAGUCGGAUUUCCACGGAAGUGUGACGAAUCGACUCUGCUUGCAAUUUAAUCGCGACUUAAUCUUGGUAUCGGUCGAGAUACCGGCAGAGGCUGGCCAUGGUGCGGUGUCACGCUCGCAAAACUCCGAUUCGCUAAGCGAUGCAUUUAUAUGCUCUCUGCUCACCUCACCGAGUCCAAUCCUCUUUUUGCCGCGUUUCGUUCCGUGUAAACUCGUUCUAGUUUAUUUUCAGACGCCUUCCCUUCUCCUGGGAGGAGGACCCGAGUUUUCUUCGAGUCCUCCAUCGAUCGACAUUGUUCCACAGCGACGCAAUCUUCCCGUCGCGUUCACCGACAAGUCAAUCCGUUUCUCCAUUAAUUUCUCCCCCCUCCCUUCUUUCGUUAGUUACGUUAGUCUUUGAGAACGCGACGAUCCACUCGAGACGUGGCGUAAUUUUCACGUCAAAGAUAGAUAGAUAUUAUAGAUAAAUUUGCGAAAUAAUUAGCACCAGGACGGAAACACUUUCGAUAUCGGUCGAAGAAAACCGAUCGAUUAAUAGGAGGAGCGCAAGAUUAUCGAUUACGCGUAUCCGCUUAAUUUUCCAUCUCAUCGAAUCGAUCGAUGUUUUUUUCGAAUCUACGAACCCUCGAUUAAUAGCACGCGAUAAAUAUCCAGCCGUUUUUCUCUUUGCGCUCUCGCGAUCGUCGAUUAUUUAUCCUUAAUUAUCCUCCCGAGGAAUAUAAUAAUUCAAGCCAACGAUUGCUUUUCGAACGAUCGAGUCGAUAGAUUCGUACGGAUCUCCUUUCGAACCGCGCUAAAAUUCUAAAAUCGAAACGAAAUCUCGUCGUAUUCGGAAUGAAGGCGAUCUGUCCCGAAUAAACAAACGAAACAACGGAAUAAAAUUUGGCAAGAGCCGCGCGAUUUUACGGCACACCUUGUAUACGUUCGCCCUACACCUUUUCGCGGAGGCUGGAUGGCCUGGACUCGGGCUGGUUCUCGUCCCUCUUACUCUUCGUCUCGCUCUCCGACUCCUCUCGGGUUUUGUGCGGCUCGCCUCGCGAGAUCCUCCGCUUCUUCUUGUUUUCCUCGUCCGUCGUCCUCUCCGUGGCGCGCGGCCGCCUCGCCCCCUCUCCCUUCCUCCCGCCUCGGGACCAAGCCAACGCGCUCACUUCGCCUUUCCUCCACCGUCUCUGCUCCUCCGUCCCAACUGUCGCUUUGCAUCCUUCUCGACUCGCGUCCUCGACGAUAUCUCUCGACCGUCUUAUCGACGAAUCGAAAGGAAAAUUCGAAAAGGGAGAAAAGAGAA